rnacentral:pre_miRNA from 1 species
CCACAGGGUCUGAUUCAAAACCCACUGAAGCCAAUGUGAGUUUUUUCAUUGACUUUACUGGGGUUUGGAUCAGGCCCCAGG